rnacentral:lncRNA from 1 species
CCGGAAAUGGCCUUGCUAUGAGCUCCCCGCCCGAGGUCGGAGGAAGUUUCGCCGUCCUGACAUUGCGUUCACCCCUGAGGCGUCAGGGAAGGCCUGGCCCCUGACGCAUGCGCCGUGCAAUCGCUUCCCUUAGGCUCCCUGCACAGAUGCUCAGAUUUUGCCCUGAUCCCGAGGCGGCCUGGGAAUUCAUUUCCUGCUGACUGCACUUCCGCUUCUGGAAGGUGAUAGGAAAGAAGCCAACGUGAAGACCCCGACCUUCUAAACUUCCUGGUUCUUGCUGUGGAGCUCCCAAUCUUGCAGUGAUCCUCCUGUCUCAGCCUUCCAAGUGCUGGGAUUACAGGCAUGUCCCACCACACCCAGCUCUGGAAGGAAGGUGUUGCUGAAGUUGAAGAUGCCCAUUUUCGGAUUGAGACCCUCGGUUCUUCAUGACGAGCUCUCCGGAAGCCAGACAGCCUGGGUGCACUAGGAGGCCUUGUGGUAUUUCCCAGCAUCCCUUGGGAAUUAUGUGCCUCUUUGUUUUGGAAAGUGUGAUAGUUAACAGUGGUGUCAGCUUUAGGAAGAAAUGCCUGCUGAUUGGUUUAGCACGGUUCGGGUUGUGUCUGGAUGAUGGACAUACAGAAGGGGGAGGACUCACGCUGGGUGUGGGAGACACCAACCAAUGGGCUUCUACCCUGGGUGGAAUCAAAAGGGAAAGAAGGAAGUCUCCUUCUGUUGCUUCGGAGGAGCUCCAGUCUUCACCGUCACCUUUGGGCAUCCGUCUCCAGGCUUCCAGGACAGACCCUUAGGCUUCCUGACAGGAUUUGCAUGGGACUGCGAGGGGAGCUCCAGGCCUUUGACUUGUGACUGGGUCCUUUGGCUCUCCAGCGGGCAGAUGGCCCUUUUGCACUCUUCCACACCUGACUCUGUGGGCGGCCAUUAUAAGCCGACCUCGUAAAUCUCUAGUUAUUUAUCUAUCUAUCUAUCCAUCCAUCAUGUAUCUUAUAUUAAAUCAGUUCCUCUAAUGAACACUGACUGAUACAGAGAGGGAGGGACUACAUCAUCUGGAUAUCACCUUUCCACCUUUUCCAGCUCCUGGUAGCCCCCAGUGUUCUUGGUACGGGGCAGCACUAACUCUGAUACUCACAUAACCUUUCUUUUGUGCAUAUCUGUGUCUGUGUUCAAAUUUCUUCCUUUUACAAGGACAUGAGUUAUAGUGGGUUAGGGCCCACCUCGUGUCUUCAUCUUGACUAUGUCUACAAAGAGCCUAUUCCUAAACAAGGUCACAUUCUGAGGCACUGGGAGGUAGGAUGUCAGUCUGUCUUUGCUGCGGGGAACAGUUCAUAAUGCCACCUCCAGAAACUUCGGACUCACAGCCUCAAAUGUAAUGCCCGGCAUCACAGCUGACCAUGCACUAGAUAUUUCCAGCCCUGACAACAAUAGCUGCCAGAUGUGACAUGGAGAGAUGUGUUUUAUGGAGGUGAGGGGUCCAGGAGACACUAAUCAGGUAUCUGGACCUCAUUGGUCCCACAAGACACGACAACAGAGUUGGAUCAGGAGGGAACCAUAUCCUGAAAAAACCCCACAAGGUACAUGACCCACCUCUGAAUAAUAUAGGACAAACUAUACUUCCAAGAUACAGCUCAGCCCCAUUCAGCAUGAAUUUGAGUCAGCACAGUCAAUUAAUCUUAUCAGUAAUGACUUGCACACCAGAUGAUUCAAUCUGUACACCGGAAACGGCCACUGUUGGUGGUUGUGUUGCCUGGCUCUCCCUUCUGCUGUUUCUUCCCCCACCUGCUCCUUUAAUAUGUUGGCUUAGUUCUCUGCCUCCUCCUUCUGUCCUGGUUUGCUUUUAGCUUCCUUCCCAGUGGAGGUCAAAGGUCACAUAAGGAGAAGAAUCAAAUAGCUUGGUAUAAAACAAAAGAACCUUUAACAAAGCGG